UACCUGGAUCAUAUCACAGUUCUAUUUUAAAUUUUUUGAAGAACCUCCACUACUGUUUUCCCUCCUGGCUGUACUAAUGAGGUCCUCAAAGGACUUGGAUGGGAGACUGUCUGGGAAUAGGGGGCUUCUAGGCCU
rnacentral:rRNA from 1 species